AACGAACGCCGGCGGCAGGCUUAACACAUGCAAGUCGAACGGGUGUAGCAAUACAUCAGUGGCAGACGGGUGAGUAACACGUGGGAACCUUCCUAGGGGUACGGAACAACUCAGGGAAACUUGAGCUAAUACCGUAUACGUCCGUGAGGAGAAAGAUUUAUCGCCCUUAGACGGGCCCGCGUCGGAUUAGGUAGUUGGUGGGGUAACGGCCUACCAAGCCUACGAUCCGUAGCUGAUCUUAGAGGAUGAUCAGCCACACUGGGACUGAGACACGGCCCAGACUCCUACGGGAGGCAGCAGUGGGGAAUCUUGGACAAUGGGCGCAAGCCUGAUCCAGCCAUGCCGCGUGCAGGAUGAAGGCCCUCGGGUUGUAAACUGCUUUUGUACGGAACGAAACGCGCUGAGUUAAUACCUCGGCGUAAUGACGGUACCGUAAGAAUAAGCACCGGCUAA
rnacentral:rRNA from 1 species